rnacentral:rRNA from 1 species
UGCAAGUCGAACGGAACUUCUUUAAAGGAUUUCUUCGGAAUGAAUUUGAUUAAGUUUAGUGGCGGACGGGUGAGUAACGCGUGAGUAACCUGCCUCUAAGAGGGGAAUAACAUUCUGAAAAGAAUGCUAAUACCGCAUAACAUAUAUUUAUCGCAUGGUAGAUAUAUCAAAGAUUUAUCGCUUAGAGAUGGACUCGCGUCCGAUUAGUUAGUUGGUGAGGUAACGGCUCACCAAGACCGCGAUCGGUAGCCGGACUGAGAGGUUGAACGGCCACAUUGGGACUGAGACACGGCCCAGACUCCUACGGGAGGCAGCAGUGGGGGAUAUUGCGCAAUGGGGGAAACCCUGACGCAGCAACGCCGCGUGAAGGAUGAAGGUCUUCGGAUUGUAAACUUCUUUUAUUAAGGACGAAGAAAGUGACGGUACUUAAUGAAUAAGCUCCGGCUAACUACGUGCCAGCAGCCGCGGUAAUACGUAGGGAGCAAGCGUUGUCCGGAUUUACUGGGUGUAAAGGGUGCGUAGGCGGCUUUGCAAGUCAGAUGUGAAAUCUAUGGGCUCAACCCAUAGCCUGCAUUUGAAACUGCAGAGCUUGAGUGAAGUAGAGGCAGGCGGAAUUCCCCGUGUAGCGGUGAAAUGCGUAGAGAUGGGGAGGAACACCAGUGGCGAAGGCGGCCUGCUGGGCUUUAACUGACGCUGAGGCACGAAAGCGUGGGUAGCAAACAGGAUUAGAUACCCUGGUAGUCCACGCUGUAAACGAUGAUUACUAGGUGUGGGGGGUCUGACCCCUUCCGUGCCAGAGUUAACACAAUAAGUAAUCCACCUGGGGAGUACGGCCGCAAGG